rnacentral:rRNA from 1 species
AUUGAACGCUGGCGGCAUGCUUUACACAUGCAAGUCGAACGGCAGCGCGGGGCAACCUGGCGGCGAGUGGCGAACGGGUGAGUAAUACAUCGGAACGUACCCAGAAGUGGGGGAUAACGUAGCGAAAGUUACGCUAAUACCGCAUACGUUCUACGGAGGAAAGUGGGGGACCGCAAGGCCUCCUGCUUUUGGAGCGGCCGAUGUCUGAUUAGCUAGUUGGUAGGGUAAAGGCCUACCAAGGCGACGAUCAGUAGCUGGUCUGAGAGGACGACCAGCCACACUGGGACUGAGACACGGCCCAGACUCCUACGGGAGGCAGCAGUGGGGAAUUUUGGACAAUGGGCGCAAGCCUGAUCCAGCAAUGCCGUGUGAGUGAAGAAGGCCUUCGGGUUGUAAAGCUCUUUUGUCAGGGAAGAAACGGCUGAGGUUAAUACCUUUGGCUAAUGACGGUACCUGAAGAAUAAGCACCGGCUAACUACGUGCCAGCCGCCGCAGUAAUAC